CUCUGGUUGACUAAGUUGUUAAAGCAUCUGCCUCAGAUGUAGGAGGUCGCAGGUUUGAACCCUGGUUUAAUCAAAGA